AGAGUUUGAUCCUGGCUCAGAAUCAACGCUGGCGGCGUGCCUAACACAUGCAAGUCGCACGAGAAAGGGACUUCGGUCUUGAGUAAAGUGGCGCACGGGUGAGUAACACGUGAAUUAUCUACCUCCGAGUGGGGAAUAACUGAGAGAAAUCUUAGCUAAUACCGCAUAACACUUACGAGUCAAAGCAGCAAUGCGCUUGGAGAGGAGUUCGCGGCCGAUUAGUUAGUUGGCGGGGUAAUGGCCCACCAAGACGAUGAUCGGUAUCCGGCCUGAGAGGGCGCACGGACACACUGGAACUGAAACACGGUCCAGACUCCUACGGGAGGCAGCAGUGGGGAAUUUUGCGCAAUGGGGGAAACCCUGACGCAGCAACGCCGCGUGGAGGAUGAAAUAUCUUGGUAUGUAAACUCCUUUCGAUGGGGAAGAUUAUGACGGUACCCAUAGAAGAAGCCCCGGCUAACUUCGUGCCAGCAGCCGCGGUAAUACGAGGGGGGCAAGCGUUGUUCGGAUUUAUUGGGCGUAAAGGGUGCGUAGGCGGUUUGGCAAGUCUUGUGUGAAAUCUUCGGGCUCAACCCGAAGCCUGCACAAGAAACUGCCGGGCUUGAGUAUGGGAGAGGUGAGUGGAAUUUCCGGUGUAGCGGUGAAAUGCGUAGAUAUCGGAAGGAACACCUGUGGCGAAAGCGGCUCACUGGACCAUAACUGACGCUGAGGCACGAAAGCUAGGGGAGCAAACAGGAUUAGAUACCCUGGUAGUCC
rnacentral:rRNA from 1 species